UACUGCUACUGAUUUUUCAGGGUCCAAAGGCUCUUUAUUCAGCAUGUGAUGAAAUCUGCCAAGACUGGGUCCUUCCCUUCAAGGCAGUUCCCUUUUGGCCCAGGGUAUAUCUAGAAAUGUCAUCCAAGAGCUAGGGCCUGCAAUGAGUGCCUCAGGAUUUUGCCCAGUACCCUAUCCUACUCUGGCUGAACUGGUAUCCAAGUUGCAAGACAAAGUCCUUUUCACUCUUCCCUCUUCUCUCCUCAAGCAAAGGAAGGAGUCCCUUUUGGAGCCAUAAGCUGUGUUGCCUGGGGUUGGGGGAGGGGUGCUGUAAGCACUUACUUAGCCAUCCUGGCUGGUGUCUUACUAGAUCGUGCGCUCCCCAGUCCACUGGCUCAGAGCCCAGCACAGCACUAGGACUUGCCUGGGUAUUGCAGUUGUUGUGGCCCAGACAGGCUUUCAAGUUUAUUUAGGACCUCAGAGCACUUUAGCCCAUGGUGGUGGAGGUAGUCAAAACUCAGUUUCUGAAACCUGGGAUGGGCAAUUCUCCUCUGGCUAAGGGUGGUCUAAAUGGUCCCUCCAUUGGCAACAGCUAAGUUCUGCCCCGUAUUGGCAGCACUGAAUUCUAGAGUCCCACAAUCGCUGUGCCCUCCCUCCAAGUGCACAGAUUCUCUCUCCACACUAUGUGGCUGCUGCCAGGGGAUGGGGGAGGGGUGGUGUCAGCAAUUCAAGAUUGUCUUUCUUAUCUUCCUCAGUGCUUCUUUCAACAAUACGAAGUUAAAACCAGAUCAACCUGGAUGCCUUCCUUCACAAUAAUCUCAUGGAGGUAAUUUAAAGAAUCCCUUUUUUGGAGAGUCAGAGAGAAAAGCAAAAAAAAAGAGCAUGAGGAAUUUGAAGACUGAGAGAUGAGUUGUGUAGCACCAACAUUUUCUUUCUGCCUGACCUUCAUACCUGAUGAAUUAAAAGUACUGGUGACAGUAACAGUUUCCCUCUGUCUUUUGGCUGUCCACACUGAAGGAUGAUAGAGAUGAGUAGAAGAAGGCCAAACCCAGCCAUCACCAGAACAGGGCCUGCUGGCUUUGUGAGCAUUUCACAAUAUUGUCUGGAGCUGUUUGGCUUAUAGAAGAGGGAAGGUACUAUGAGAGGCUGAGCUGGAAUGGCUUCUUCAUCAUUAAGGGCUGACCUAUUGGCUUGGCAUUGAAAUCAAUUUAGAACAAAUGGUCUCCAUUUCAAGUCAGCUUGAACCAUCUAAGCCCCAGAACAUGACACAGAAAAAAAGAAGCAGUAAACUGCCCCUUCUACCAAUGUCUAAGAUGAACGGGAAAAAUGCAUAUAAAUGGAAUUUUUCUUUUACGUGAUGAUACAGUGUUUUGGUGUCCCAAAGAAAUAAAAUCCAGCACUGUCCAAUUGAAGUAUAAUGCAAGCCACAUUUCUAGUAGCCAUAUUUUAAAAAGUAACAAUAAAGUGUUGAAAUUUACCUUAAUACUGCCUUUUUUAACCAAAUAGGUCCAAAAUAUUAUUAUUUUGACAGGCAUUAUGAGUUGAGUUGUGUCCCCCACAAAAUUCAUGUUGAAGCCCUAACCAGCAGUACCACAGAAUGUGACUAUAUUGAGAGAUGGGGUUUUAAAAGAAGUAAUUAAGUUAAAAUGGUUUCAUUAGGGUGGGCCCUAAUCCAAUAUAACUGAUGUUCUUAUAACAAGAGGCAAUAUGGACAUGGGCACACACAGAGGGAAGAUCAUGUGAUGACAUGAGUCAAGAAGAGAGGCCUCAGAAGAAACCAACCUGACAACACCUGGAUCUCAGACUUCUACCUUCUAGAAUUGUGAAAAAUACAUUUAUCUUGCUUAACCCACCUAGUCUAUGAUAAUUUGUUAUGGCAUCUCUAGCAAACUAAUACAAUAUGUAAUCAAUUAAUGAAAAUAAAAUGUAUUAAUAAGA
rnacentral:lncRNA from 1 species